rnacentral:lncRNA from 1 species
GGCAACUGGGGCGUCGUGCCCGCUGAAGCUAGGGCGGUUUGGUUGGUCCCCGACUUCCACUGGGCGGCUGGAGGGAUGAGUUGGUCCAGAGAUGCUCGUGGCGGAGUGAGUGCCCACUGGACCGUGUUGGUGACCUCCUUUUGGACCUGCCUGCCAAUUUCGGCCUUUGAGCGGCCGUUUUCAAGAAAUUAAUUUUAAAAAUGUAAUUGACGCAUUAAAGGAAGGAAAAAGAAGAGGCCCAGGAGACUCAUGAUGUAAUGUUUAGAAAAGAACAGGAGAAAAUGUCUGGAGAGAAAAAGAGCCAAUCCUAGGCCUGUGUGUGGAAACAGCUAGAGAGAUGGGACUUAACAGAAACCAGUAGAAGAAAAACAAACAUAUAAAAGCCUGCGAUGACAUUUUUAGCUUUUCUAUGGGAAGAAAUAGAUAUAAAAUUGAUGUUGCAGGUCCUUCUAGUUGUGGGAUGUGGGACGCCGCCUCAACGUGGCCUGAUGAGGGUGCCAUGUCCGCUCCCAGGAUCCAAACCCUGGGCCACCGCAGCGGAGCGCGAACUUAAGCACUCGGCCACGGAGCCCGCCCCCAAAGAUAUUUUUUAAUGAUACUAUUAGUUGCCAACCAA